UACGAAGGGGCUAGCGUUGUUCGGAAUUACUGGGCGUAAAGCGCGCGUAGGCGGUUUUGCAAGCCAGAGGUGAAGUGCCUGAGCUCAAACUUAGGAAUUGCCUUUGGGACUGCGAGGCUUUGAGGACUGGAGAGGUGAGUGGAAUUCCCAGUGUAGAGGUGAAAUUCGUAGAUAUUGGGAAGAACACCGGUGGCGAAGGCGGCGUCACUGGCCGAGUUU
rnacentral:rRNA from 1 species